GGCUGGUCCAAGUGCAGUGGUGUUUACAACUAAUUGAUCACAACCAGUUACAGAUUCCUUUGUUCCUUCUCCACUCACACUGCUUCACUUGACUAGCCUUAA
ensembl:misc_RNA Y_RNA Y RNA